ensembl:lncRNA GARS1-DT GARS1 divergent transcript
GAGUUUUGCUCUUGUUGCCCAGGCUGGAGUGCAAUGGCACAAUCUCAGCUCACCACAACCUCCCCCUCCCGGGUUCAAGUGAUUCUCCUGCCUCAGCAUCACUAGUAGCUGGAAUUACAGGCACCUGCCACCAUGCCUACAAAAAUACCAUGUAUUUUUAGUAGAGACGGGGUUUCUCCAUGUUGAUCAGGCUGGUCUCGAUCUCCCAACCUCAGGUGAUCUGCCUGCCUCGGCCUCCCAAAGUGCUGGGAUUACAGGUGUGAGCCAGCGCGCCCAGCCAACUUGUACUAUUUCUAAGCUAAUACAAGUCCAUUUCACAUAGAUAACACAUUACAUUUCUACAGAAAUCAUUGUAUUAAGCCUACUGAAAUGCAUCUUGCUGUUUUUUGAACUAAAGACCCAUGUAUAAGUGAUAGUUCUUUCAUAUCAGUACAUGAAUCUGAGGAGACCCUAAUUUUCAGUGGCCACAGGUCCUUAAUCUGCUGUGCUUUUCCCUGGCAGUGCUCAACAGCUGGGAGCUGCCCCAUGGAAAGGGACUACUGGCCUAAUCCCAGACUGGGGUUUGACUAAAAGGUUGCGCCAGGAGGACAAAAGGGCAAGAGAGUAAGACCACCAGCAAGAGAAUGACCAAAAUGAUAGACUUGGGCCAUAUUUUGGGCUAAUUGUGCCCCCCAAAAUAUAUAUGUUGAAGCCCUAACCCCCAAUGUAUCAGUAGUUGGAGAUGGGGCCUUUUGGGGGGUAAUUAGGUUUAGAUGAAGUUACAAAAUAGAGCCCUCAUGCUGGGAUUAGUGCUCCUAUAAGACAUCAGGAAGUUUGCUCUCUCUUUCUGUCGUGUGAGGAUACAGUGAGAAGGCAGCCAUCUGCAAGCUAGGAAGAGGGCCCAUGCCAGAACCUGACCAUGCUGGCACUCUGAUUUUGGAUUUCUAGUCUCUAGAACUGUGAAUAAGUACGUUUCUAUUGCGUAAGCCACCCAGUCUAUGGUAUUUUAUUAUGGCAGCCUGAGCUGACUAAUAUAGGCUUCUAGAUUGGAAGGGGAAGGAAGUAAAGAGAGAGAAUUGAUAGGGAUAAAGAAGAGGCAUCAAGAGACUUGGGGUAUCUGCUACUGAAGACAUCAGCUCUCUAUGACAAAACAGCACAGCAUGUUUGGAGUAAGAGAAAGCUGAAGUCUCAACAAACAAAUAGAUUCUUAAUGUUCUAUACCACCGGACAAACUGCAGCCCUUUUAUACAUAUGGAGUACUUUCUGGGCCAGUCCUGUGGCCCCUUUCAAAUGUAUGGUGUUGAAACGUAGUAAGUUUAUGUUUUUAAGGUCUGCCCCUCCCUUCUUGCAUUAUAUCAUAAACUCUUCUCUUUUUUUUUUUUUUUGAGACGGAGUCCCGCUCUGUCACGCAGGCUGCCAGGCUGGCGUACAGUGGCGCAAUCUCAGCUCGCUGCAACCUCCACCUCCUGGGUUCAAGCGAUUUUCUUGCCUCUGCCUCCUGAGUAGCUGGGAUUACUGGCACACACCACCAUGCACAGGGAGAUAUGAGACAUCAAUCAAUAUAUGUAAGAUGUACAUCAGUUUCGUCUGGAAAGAUGGGACAACAUGAAGCAGGGAGGGGGCUCCCUGGUGACAGUUCCUUGUUCAAAAUGCCAAGAACCUGGAUGACUCAUAGUCAAGACCCUCCACCAGUAACAUAUAUUGGCGAGCCAGCCAGGAGCUUGGAACCCUCGGUGGACAGUGCCUAAGCACAGAGGCAACCACAGGUUUCUAACAGGGCCACUCUCUGGUGAAACUGAAAGGUUUCUGUGUGAAAGUGCCUGACCACCACUGCCCAAUUCAGACCACUACAGGAAACACUCCAUUUAUUCCACCUGACUUCCCACUUGGCUGCAUCCUCAACCAUUGAAAUGAAUUUGACCCUGAUAAUCUAAGGAGGAAACAUUUGAUAUUCUUUUGCAAUAAUACUUGGCCCCAGUAUUGUUUGGAAUCUGGAGUUUGCUGUUGAAUGGGAAAGCAGGAUGACGUUGCAUGUAUCCAGGCUUUGGUGCUGCUGUCCUAAGAAGGGUCAGGCCUAGUCAGCAUAUGGUGCUCUCCUUUGGUGCUAUUUGGCUCCAGUGUCUUUGGAGUCUGAGGAGGUUUGGCCUUUAAAAAUCAAACUGCCACCGGAACUGCUUUAAAAAUGUUUGGUUCACAGCCUUCACUGGAUUACCUAUUGGAGCAAACAAAGUGUAACCAUGUAAAACCUGUGAGCUUGUAUUGAUAUCUCAUGGCUAGAGUUCCAAGGUAAAAGCUAUUGGAUCUUCGUUUGUGUGUGUGUAUACAUGUCUAGAUGUGUUUAUUUGUAUGUACACUUAUUGUUAUAUGUUGUGUCAACCAAAUCAGCUUAUAAAUAAAAAAGCACUCAUAAAUUAAAUAAAUAAGUCCAAGCAAUUUUCAAGUUCAUGUGACUUAAGUAAAUCUUCAUUAAAUAGCUGGCUUUAAAAUUAUUGGUAAAAUGAAAAUAGAAAUAUCUUCAGAAUUGUCAGCAUACAUUUUUGUCUGGGUUUUAUAUUUGUCUUUGCUAGAAAUGUUGAAGUGUCAGCAUUUGGCAUAGAAGAUUAUAAAGCUAUUAACCCAGCCAAAACAAAAUGGCCUUAGUUUAUGUGGCUUCUUUGACAAAUGAGACUAAUUUAAUAUUGUUAGCUAAAUCUUCUGGGUUAUUGGCAAAAACACCUAUGUAUUUAACUGUGAGGUUCUUAUUUAGGUGAACACAUAAUGUUCAUUGGCUAUUAAAAAUGGUUAACAAAUAAAUAACUAACUUUAAAUGAUGGUGUCUAAUAUCUCAGUUUUCAGAAGUAAUCUAGAUAAACUGUUAAAAAUGAAAGACUUAAGUACAUGUAAAUGGGAUGAAUGAUUAGGUAAAUUUUGUGUAAUUUAAAAUCUUAAAAGUAUUUUUGAUGCCCAUUGGAUAUCUCAGUCAUUUCCAAUUAAGAAAGGGUUAUGAUAGGGAGGAAUAUGUUUCCAAAAAUUGUGGAAUUAUUCUCAUCUAUAAAAUGCUAAUAUCUGAUAGUUUAGGAUUUUUUGCUUCCUAAGGUUUCACUAAAAUUUAAGGUUACUAAGAUGAUAUGGUUUGGCUUUGCAUCCCCACCCAAAUCUCUUCUUAUAACUCCCAUAAUUACCGUGUGUUGUGGGGAGGGAUCCAGUGGGUGAGAGAUGAUUGAAUUAUGCUGUUCUCAUGAUAGCGAAUGGGUCUCAUGAGAUCUGAUGGUUUUGAAAAUGGGAGUUGCCCUGCACAAGCUCUCCUUUUGCCUGCUGCCAUCCACAUAAGAUGUGAUUUGCUCUUCCUUGCCUUCCACCAUGAUUGUGAGGCCUUCCCAGCAUGUGGAAAUGGUCCAGCCUGCAAUAACUGAAGCCCCCAGACCUGGAACCUGAAGAUCCCAUCAGCCACUAAACCUGUGAACCUGUAGAAGACCUGAAGUACCUGUUUAAAAGGCAGCCAAAAGAUAAGUAAAUUCCUAUCAACUUUCCUUGGUGUCCUUCUUGUAUAUUUACUGUAAGCUGGAUAUAAUAGUAGCCAUUUUUAUAUUUUUACAAUUUAAUUGCUUUCUUCCAAAUGGAUUGAAUCACUUCUUUUAAAGUGUUUUAAUUAAUUUUUAUCUAUAGAACAAAAUAACAAAUAAGUAUUUUUUUUUUAUACCAUAAUGGUCACCCACAGCCUGUGUAUACUAAGACCAUGCAUACUGAUAAUCAGCUUUAUUUUACAAAAGAGUUUCGCUUUACCCCUCUGGUAAUUAAUGGAUUCUGGGUAUUUAUUAAAAACUUUAACACAAAGACUGUUAAAUACCACC